AGAUUUUUUAAGGCCCCCCCUAUGGCAAUCGAAGCAGCCCUGACAAGAAAAACGAGAUAGUGUGCGGUUGAUCGGUCAUGCAAUCUGUCAAAUAUUCAAAAAAUAAAGUUUGUUUACAUUUUGAACCGAACGAUAGCUCUCACGAUGUACAACGGCGAAUGAUUAAAAAAAGGCUACAUCAGUGAUGAAAAUGUUGUGUGUAAUGUGUAAAAUAAACAGCCAAAAAAUUAUAAAUGGUGGUAGAAUCGACUUCGCACGCCUGAAAGCCGUUUAGGCUGUUGUGCAACCGUGUUGAGCCGGCGAACGUUCGAAAGCGGGAAGAAAGAAUGCCGGCAAUCCAACUAAACGAUGUUCGAUCAUGGAAAACAAGUUAAAAAGCAUACAAAGCUCGCUCGCCGUUGGACGCUUGGACAAUUACAUUUACAAUCAUUCGGUGAUCAGUUUGCGAAACGUCUUGCCGCACGCCUGGUACAGGCCCUUCUUGUCCGCCCCGGCAUCGAUCGUGGACUGAUUGUUCGGCAGCGUCAGCAUCAUCACCUUCAUCUGCGGGUAGUUGUGGUACGGCACAGUUCCGGUCGCCAUCUCGAUCGCGGUAAUGCCGAACGACUAGAAGCCGUAUCCGUGGUCCCGCUCCGUCUCCUCCGGCGCCAUCCAGCACGACGUGCCGAUAAACGUGUGGUACACCUUCUGCCGCGACAUGUCUCCAUCGGUGGCGAGCCACGCGCUCAUCCGCUAUAUUUAAGGAGCCGUCGUCGCCGGGCAGUAUGAUGGCCACCUUGAUGUCCACGUAAUGAGCAAUGCGAAAUGUGCUCUCAAUUGGCAAGCGCACAGCAAGAAACGUUACCGACAGUCUUUGUCGCCGUGAAAAUGCUUCUAAUGCACGGGUGAGUUGCAUUAUAACUACAAGCAUACGUUUUUUUUCCUUUCUUUAAUUUCAGCUAAUGCCAGACGAACGAUCGAAUGACUGUUGCUUCGGAAGGGAGGUCGCAUUACAGAUACCGACUUGGACAUGAUCCAGUCGGUCGGUUGCAGUUGCUCCAUGGUGCUUCGGAUAAGGCAACAACGGAGAAGCGCUCCGGACGCUCCGGAGAAGCUGAUCGAGAUCGGCGAAGCGGUGUAGUGUUGUGAUAUAGUGAUUGUGUGUACAUUUAAGGUGUAAAGGGUGAUUAAUGCUAGUAACGUUGUGUAAUGUUAUGCAGAACAAAAUGCAGCAUAAAUGGCGAUGAGCCAGCAUUGUUUAAAGGUGCCGGAUGUUAUACGUUAGAGCCGUUCUUUGUGGUGUGAUGUGUUAACAUAUUAAACCAGUAUUAGGAUUAGGAUAUAAUUAGGAUUUAAACCAGUGCCGUUGAAUAAAAUAGUGUACAACAGGUUAGAAAACAUUCCGUGUAUUUUGUUUUGUUUUUUUAAAGCUCUUUCGAUUACCUAUUACGGAAGCAAAUAUGUUUCACUAAUGUGCAAAAGAAUGGCUCACUGGCUGGUUAGUGCAGACUAUGAUCGGAUGCGCAUUUCCCUACGCCGCAGUGCCGGGUGCAUCAUACGUCGGUGUUGGGUUGCUGUUACUGGGCCGAGCGUAUGCGCGUGCACACGUGGGAAUAAACGACACGCAACCGUGGUGAUAUCACAGAAACUAUAUAUUUUGUUCUAUUUCAUCAUAAACAAUUCUUGCCAUUAAUUGCUGUUUUUAGGUAUUUUAUAUUGCAUCGGUACUAUUAUCGUGUUCAAAGGCUUUUUCGAGAAAUGCCAAUACAUAAAUCGGUUAGUCCGUUUAUAUCGGUUUCUCAAACCCCUGCAAGCAAUGGUCAAUCAUUUCAGUCUUAAACUUUUGACGAACGAAUGCCUGGUCGCUAGCUGCAGCUUCCCAUCGAUGUAGGCACACGAUCUUCGAGAUUUUACUUCACCUGAUCUAGCCAUCGAACUCGCUGUGCUUCCUUGCUUCUAGUACCGAACUGAGAGCCGCUCGAACACCUAGCUGCUGGGGCACGAGGCUGCCUUCUUCACCACAUGCUCCAGCCAUCGCAAACAGCCAUGUCCGGUGCGCCAUACGGCUUCAGUAAGCUCGUGGAUGAUCAUUCGCAUCCACACCCCAUGCUCGAAUUCACCGCCAAAGAUGAUCCGGAGGAUGCGUUGGCCGUCGUGUUUCGCCGCUGUCCUUUGCAUGCUGUAAAGAAACAUACCUAUUCAUCGUCGGCCAAUGGUGCAGCACGAGCGCAACGUGAUACAUCGUGACAUCAUCCGGAAAACUUGCAGCUGGGGCACGGUGGUGAUCUGAAGAUAGUUGAUUUUGGUUGUUCAGCCGCACACAAAAACUGUCGAUCUAUGGAAUUUGGGCGUGCUGGCGUAAGGCCCCGUUUUUGGCGACCACGUAUGAAGAAUCGUACCGUAAAAUUAUGAAGCUGCAGUUUAAGAUGCCGCCAGAUGUAACGAAGCCGGCGGCCCAUCUGAUCUCGCGACUGUUCGUUAAGGAUCUGGCCAGCCGUAUGCCGCUGAAACAUGUUGCGUCCAUCCCUGGAUUCUGCUGCACGUGCACAAAAAGUAAAUAGGAAUUGCUGCUACCAUGUACCAUAUAUCGUUAUGUUCUCACUAAGUAUGUUUAUAAGAUACCUGUACCUUUUAGUUUUUUAAACCCUAUCUCUUAUAAGAAGUAGUGGUAUUUGAAUUGAAUAUGAACAAGGCAAGUGUAAUGAUAAGUAAUGAUAAUUGUUAUUUGUGUGUUCACUCAAAUGUUAUUAUACUUUCUUCAUGUUCAACAUCUGUUAUUAUUUCAAUUAUUAACAAUAAAAUAUGGCAAAAUAUUUUUUAAGCUAUA